GAUGAACGCUCGCUACAGGCUUAACACAUGCAAGUCGAGGGGCAGCAUGGUCUUAGCUUGCUAAGGCCGAUGGCGGCCGGCGCACGGGUGAGUAACACGUAUCCAACCUGCCGUCUACUCUUGGACAGCCUUCUGAAAGGAAGAUUAAUACAAGAUGGCAUCAUGAGUUCACAUGUUCACAUGAUUAAAGGUAUUCCGGUAGACGAUGGGGAUGCGUUCCAUUAGAUAGUAGGCGGGGUAACGGCCCACCUAGUCUUCGAUGGAUAGGGGUUCUGAGAGGAAGGUCCCCCACAUUGGAACUGAGACACGGUCCAAACUCCUACGGGAGGCAGCAGUGAGGAAUAGUGGUCAAUGGGCGAGAGCCUGAACCAGCCAAGUAGCGUGAAGGAUGACUGCCCUAUGGGUGGUAAACUUCUUUUAGAAAGGAAUAAAGUCGGGUAUGUAUACCCGUUUGCAUGUACUUUAUGAAUAAGGAUCGGCUAACUCCGUG
rnacentral:rRNA from 1 species